GUUCAGAGCUUCUUCCUGCAGCCGACUCCUCCCUCACCCCGGCCCCUCGGGUCGGAAGGGAAGUUAGAGCGACGCAGCGGGAGACCUACUGAGGCUCUGAGGAGGGAAUGCCAGUGGUGGGGGCGUCCCUGCCUCUAAGCCUUAGAGUCUGAGGUGGCAACCAUACCUUCGCAGCUUCUCGGGAGCUGGUUGGAACACAGUGUCCUUCCGUUCACCCUCAGUAAGUUCCCUGGGACAUUCCCAGGGGCCGGGGAGCUAGCUCUACAGUCUCUGAGAGUGGGCAAGUGUGCAUACUGCCUAACCCCCGACCGGAACUCGUCGCAAGGACUCUUCAAGGGCAGAGGAGGAGGGCUGCCAGCUCGCGAACCCAGAUGGACCCCUUUGUCCAGCUUGCAUCGUGGCAGUCACCGAGACUGAGCCCUGUGUUCCUGAAAGCCUUGUUCCCUCACCACCUGUGAUGUUGCCUGAGGCCUGUUCAACGCGGAAGCGGAAGCAAGGCAUCUUCAGUCCCCAAGGAACUCUCAGGACUUCUGAACACCCUGAUGGUGGGCAGAGCCGGUCCAUGACUCACCCCCUCACUCCUGCAUGCACAGAGGUCCUUUAUCCUCGUGUGCUGCUUGUUUCCUUUGGCGCAUGGUAUUUUCUCCUUCUUUUGGGAGAUGGUUGCAUUACAUCUGUAUUUCCAUGUAAGUUUUCUUAGGUUCCCAAUGGUCUUUUAUCUAAAUUGGGG
rnacentral:lncRNA from 1 species